rnacentral:rRNA from 1 species
UACGAAGGGGGCUAGCGUUGCUCGGAAUUACUGGGCGUAAAGCGCACGUAGGCGGCUUUCUAAGUCGGGGGUGAAAUCCUGGAGCUCAACUCCAGAACUGCCUUCGAUACUGGAGAGCUCGAGUCCGGGAGAGGUGAGUGGAACUGCGAGUGUAGAGGUGAAAUUCGUAGAUAUUCGGAAGAACACCAGUGGCGAAGGCGGCUCACUGGCCCGGUACUGACGCUGAGGUGCGAAAGCGUGGGGAGCAAACGGG